rnacentral:rRNA from 1 species
UACGUAGGGUGCGAGCGUUGUCCGGAAUUAUUGGGCGUAAAGGGCUCGUAGGCGGUUUGUCGCGUCGGGAGUGAAAACCAGGUGCUUAACACCUGGCUUGCUUUCGAUACGGGCAGACUAGAGGUAUGCAGGGGAGAACGGAAUUCCUGGUGUAGCGGUGAAAUGCGCAGAUAUCAGGAGGAACACCGGCGGCGAAGGCGGUUCUCUGGGCAUGACCUGACGCUGAGGAGCGAAAGCAUGGGGAGCGAACAGG